UCGACUUGGAGGUUGUGCCCUUGAGGUGUGGCUUCCGGAGCUAACGCGUUAAGUCGACCGCCUGGGGAGUACGGCCGCAAGGUUAAAACUCAAAUGAAUUGACGGGGGCCCGCACAAGCGGUGGAGCAUGUGGUUUAAUUCGAUGCAACGCGAAGAACCUUACCUGGUCUUGACAUACACGGAAGUUUUCAGAGAUGAGAAUGUGCCUUCGGGAACCGUGAGACAGGUGCUGCAUGGCUGUCGUCAGCUCGUGUUGUGAAAUGUUGGGUUAAGUCCCGCAACGAGCGCAACCCUUAUCCUUUGUUGCCAGCGGUCCGGCCGGGAACUCAAAGGAGACUGCCAGUGAUAAACUG
rnacentral:rRNA from 1 species